AGAAGGUGAAGGAAGCCAAUAGUGAGGAAUAAGGUGAAUUAGAAAGAGUCAAAGUAUAAGUUCCCUGGGACAGAAGAUGAGCUCGUGGGUUUGAGUUUUUUUUAAUAAAGUAUUUUUUUUAAAUACUAUGAUGAGUGUUUGGAGUAUAUAUGGGAGUUCAAUGAGUUUUUAUUUUUUAUUUUGAUAGAAAUAUUAUGACAGCGCUUUUUAAAAAAUGCUAAUAAAGGAAUAUCCCUAUAUUAGUGUUUGCCCAAAGAGCGCUCCUAAUUCCUUUCAUCUUUUUUCUUUCUUUUUUUGUUAAGCAAAAUAUACUAGCGUUUUUAAGAGAAGUGCUUUUAUAGCUAUUACCUUAUAAUAGUGCCCGAAUUGAAACCACUAUUAUAAGCAUAUGUGAAAGAAUUUUAAUAGUACUUUAUUAAAAAGCGCUAUUAAUUUGAC
rnacentral:lncRNA from 1 species